GUCCACUCGGCGGAGGGCGGCUUCCAACUGCUGUGAGUGCACGGGGAGAGGCCCAGGCGGCGGCGGCGGCUCGCGGGUGCGGUGAAGAAUGUCAGCCACUAGCGUGGACCAGAGACCUAAAGGGCAAGGAAAUAAAGGUGGGAAAACAUGAUGCACAGAUCUGUUGACUUUCCUAACUUGAUGUAGUCAGACCAGAGCAAAGAAUCUCCUGGCUCCUAAGGCCCAUGUUCUAUCUUGAUUUGACUCUGCUUCAUAGAGCAGAGGAAACAGGCGAAGAAUCAUUUUCAGUACAAAACGGUUCCAUUCAUCAAAAAGAUGCUGUAAAUGAUGAUGAUUUUGAGCCAUACUUAAGUAGCCAGACAAAUCAGGGGCUUAGAAGAUUGGUUAUUUGGCAUUCCACAGAGGUGCUUCAGAGUAACAGCUAUCCACCAAUGUCAGAUCCAUACAUGCCUAGUUACUAUGCUCCAUCCAUUGGAUUUCCAUAUUCUCUUGGGGAAGCAGCAUGGUCCACAGCUGGAGACCAACCUAUGCCAUAUCUGACAACUUAUGGACAAAUGAGUAAUGGAGAACAUCAUUACAUACCAGAUGGUGUGUUUAGUCAACCUGGGGCAUUAGGAAAUACCCCUCCAUUUCUUGGUCAGCAUGGAUUUAACUUUUUUCCUGGUAAUGCUGAUUUCUCUACGUGGGGGACAAGUGGAUCUCAGGGACAAUCAACGCAAAGUUCUGCUUAUAGUAGCAGUUAUGGCUAUCCACCUAGUUCUCUUGGGAGAGCUAUUACUGAUGGACAGGCUGGAUUUGGCAAUGAUACUUUGAGUAAGGUGCCUGGCAUUAGCAGUAUUGAGCAAGGCAUGACGGGACUGAAAAUUGGUGGUGACCUGACAGCUGCAGUGACAAAAACUGUAGGUACAGCCUUGAGCAGCAGUGGUAUGACUAGCAUUGCAACCAAUAGUAUGCCCCCAGUUAGCAGUGCAGCACCUAAACCAACCUCCUGGGCCGCCAUUGCCAGAAAGCCUGCCAAACCUCAACCGAAACUUAAACCCAAGGGCAAUGUAGGAAUUGGAGGUUCUGCUGUGCCACCACCUCCUAUAAAACACAACAUGAAUAUUGGAACUUGGGAUGAAAAGGGGUCCGUGGUAAAGGCACCACCAACCCAACCAGUUCUGCCUCCUCAAACUAUAAUUCAGCAGCCUCAGCCAUUAAUUCAACCACCACCAUUGGUGCAAAGCCAACUGCCUCAACAGCAGCCUCAGCCACCACAACCACAGCAGCAACAAGGACCUCAGCCACAGGCUCAGCCUCACCAAGUGCAGCCCCAACAGCAACAACUGCAGAACCGUUGGGUAGCUCCUCGGAAUAGGGGAGGUGGCUUCAACCAGAACAAUGGAGUGGGUGGUGAAAACUUUGGUUUAGGUGUUGUUCCUGUCAGUGCUUCACCUUCUAGUGUAGAAGUGCAUCCAGUGCUGGAAAAGCUAAAGGCCAUAAACAACUAUAAUCCCAAAGACUUUGACUGGAACCUGAAAAAUGGACGUGUGUUUAUAAUUAAAAGCUAUUCUGAGGAUGACAUUCACCGUUCCAUUAAGUACUCUAUCUGGUGUAGUACUGAGCAUGGUAAUAAGCGUUUGGAUGCAGCUUACCGUUCCCUGAAUGGGAAAGGCCCACUCUAUUUACUCUUCAGUGUGAAUGGCAGUGGACAUUUUUGUGGAGUGGCUGAAAUGAAGUCUGUUGUGGACUAUAAUGCAUAUGCUGGUGUCUGGUCUCAGGAUAAGUGGAAGGGCAAAUUUGAAGUUAAGUGGAUCUUUGUCAAAGAUGUUCCCAAUAACCAAUUACGGCAUAUUCGCUUAGAAAAUAAUGACAACAAACCAGUUACCAAUUCAAGGGACACUCAAGAGGUACCCCUAGAAAAAGCUAAGCAAGUGCUUAAAAUAAUUGCUACCUUCAAGCAUACCACCUCAAUCUUUGAUGACUUUGCACAUUAUGAAAAGCGUCAAGAAGAGGAGGAAGCCAUGCGUAGGAUGUGGAAAUGGGAAAGGCAUGGUGAAGUUGACUUUACCAAUUAAGCAAUUCAUCAGCCUGUGAAGAGUAAGAAGGUAGAGCCAGUACAGUGGAUAUGCAGGAGAGAAAUAGAAACAAACAAUAACCAUAUGAAGAUGUCCUCUUAGAAUUACAACACUAAUGAUGUAGACUCUGGAAAUGCCUAAUAAGUCAAAGAAGACAUUAUUAAAGCUUUUUUUUUUCUGCAUAAGGUGACAUCUUUGAACUUUUUAACACAGAAUUGACUCUUGUAAUGAUUUUCAUCAGCGCAUCUGCCCUUAUAUUCUCACCAAACACACUUGAGAACUGUAACUUCGUCAAGCACUUUCUGUCCUGAAGCUUUUACCAGUAUCUGCUGUCUUUUGUAAUUAUGCAUCCUAGCUAAGGCACAGAAGACUGAAUGAAUGCAAAGAUUCAUUAACUCUUUGAAUUUGUUAAAUACUAACAGUUAACUAUUAGAAGUGGUUCAAUGAUGUAAGAGUCACAUUGCUUCAACAUUUCUUUGUUGUAGUUUUUAAAUUGUCGAUUUUUAGCUAUUUGACAGAUUAAAAGCAAAAUAAUCAUGCCAUAUUUAGUCCUGGAGUUCAAGUCUAAAUGUUUAUGUGAAGAAUUACUGUAGUAAACUUUUAAUAUGGCAAAGCAACCUUAAGCUCUAUUUUAGCCAAAUGAAACAUAAUCUGAGAUUAUAUUAGAACAUUUUCCUUGUCUUUAAAUUGUUUGGUGUAACAGAAUAUUGAUAUGCAGCUUGGUGGAUUUCACCAGUUAAUGCACAUUCUUCUUUCCUCCUUCCCCCAAUAAUAUGUAAACUGAAAAAUGUGCAUUUGUCUGAGGAAUUAUUUUGUUUGCUACCACUUAAUGAAUCUCAAAAUUUUGAGUAAAUGUACCUCAGUCUAAUCAGACUUUUUAUGACCUUUAUAACUACAUUUAAAAUCCUUAAUUCCUAUUUCUGGGUGUUUGCGAGCCUGAUUGCUAUCAUGAAGUAAACAUUUAUUACUCUAGGUAUUCACUAGCUAAAUAGACAUAGUUCUUGUUUAGCAAGCAUAUACUGUUCAACUCUUUUCUCCAGCUUUUGCAGUGUCCUGGCAUCCUUAAAAUACUUUGAAAAUAUGGCCUUGAUCCAUGGAUUAAAUCAGUAUCUAAGUGAAUGUGUUGAUGUUUUAUUGAUCAGAUCUAUAUAAAUGGGAUACAGCAUAUAUCUGGGUAUUCUUAUAGUUAUCUUUUUAACAUCUUAUUUUUUUCAUUAAUUACAUAUCAACAUUAAUUUUGUGUCUUGAAGCAAAUUGAUUUUGUAUAAUUAAACGUGUCAUCUGUAUUAAUUGAUCUGAUGGCAUAUGGUUAUGAAGAUAAUGUACUGCCCCUUAUAUUACUGUUCCAAAAGGAGAAAACUAUGUAGAAAGAUAUAAGGGUGAAAAUAGCAAUACAGUAGAUUUGAAUACCUUGGUGUUUUGCAUUACUGCAUUUAUGUUUACAUCAUGUUUAGAAACCUUUUUAUUUACAUUUACAUAUUUGAUCACUUCAGUUCAAAAUUUAGUGGCAGAUACUUCUUUGAGGUUUUCAUUUAUAUAAUUUUUUUGUACAAUGUUUUCUUAAAAUGUGCAAAUGCUGUAUUCAAGUGAAAUAAAAUACAGUAUUUGUAGAUAAUCGUAGCUAUUUCACAUGUCUUUGGUAGUCCCAUUGUAGUUAUAUCAGUGUUUACUGAAGGGAACAUUAAAAUAUUAAUGGUAUAUUACAAAAUAAAGACUUUCUUAAAGGAAAGUUGCACCUAUUUUACCUUUUUAAGAGUAAGCCAUGAAAUCUUACCUUGUGACAUGUCUCUUAACUAUUUAUAAUAAAAAUUGGCAUUUGGGUAUAGUAACCACAGCAAUGUUCUACAUCCCUAAGAUUAUAUAGGUAGGACAUGUCAAAGAUGACUGCAGUCACUCUGGAGGUCCUAUUAGAGAAAACUGUAAAGGGAGACCUCAUAGAAAGGAUAUGAUUCCCACUCUGAGGUUCACUUUUUCUGGUGCUUUAUUAGCAACUCUGAAUAUUUUUAUAAAACUAGUUACAUUAUAAAUGGAUUGAGUGUUUGAUUUACAUUUGGUUUUUAUGUAAGAAGUGUCACAGAAACACGCAGCAAGCGGGCUGAUUGCAACAGCAGACUCGGAAACGUCUAGUGUAAUUGAGUAGCCUGCUCAUCGUGAGGUGUACAUCCCAGUGCCUUUAACCUGGAUUUCUAAUACCAAGUGAAAUGGGUGCAGCAUUCCUUUGGAAAUAAAAACUUUAUCUUUUUCAAUCGGUAAUUAUUUUUUCCAUUUUACGAUUUCUUCAGAGCACCUACUUUCUCUUCCUCCUUGGUCUAUCAACAUAUUGCAAAAUGUUUUCCCUCUAAAUGAAAUGAUCACAGGCUGUCUAAAUAGCAAAACUAACUGAAUGUUUAACUGUAGCGACCAAAAAGGAGAGAACCUGGGCUCCACAGCAGGAAACACAUAAUCAAAUGUUUGAAUAAUCACAAAUUAAGACAUGCCCAGGAAAUUUCUUGCUUAAUAUUUUUCCAAGAUUUGGUUUGAAUGUUUCUUAUUAAAGUUAUCUUAAGUAUUUUAUUUUGGAAGGUAUAAUAGUUUGUAUAUUUAACAGAAAGGGAGAAAAUGUAACCAAAAUUAGUAUUCUGUCUCUAUACUUACUGGUACUUGAAGAUUCCUUUCAAAAGAAACCCCAGCCUUUUCCUAAUUUCAAUACUUAAUUCCUCAUUUUAACUUGUGAUCUUUCUAAUUCAAAAGCUGUUUUCUUUUUGAAUACCAUGCAUGGAGGUUAAGCUGAUGAUAAAAUGGUUUGCAAUAAAAGGAGUCAGCUUAAGUCAUUUAAUCAUUUCAAGUGCUUUCUGCAUCCUAUAAAAAUAAGUUUGAGACAUUUAAGAGAAUUGUGUUUUCAUUAAGUUUUGCAUAUCUUUUGUUAUGCCAUGUAAAUUCCCUUUUUCGUAUGAUUACAGAAAGGUUAUGAUAAAAUGAUUAUUAGUUCAUUUAUAUUCACUUGUAGCAAUUACAUGAGAAUUUGAAUUUUGUCAUGUUUGGGUUUGUUCAUUCCCGUGAAUGAUGGUACAGUUAGGUGAGCUUUUCUGUUAUGGUACCCAAACUCACCAUUUGGUCCUCUUUAAUCUUUGAGGGUUUCAAUAAAAAUUGUUCACUCGUA